UUCUGGGUGAGUUUGGUGGGUAAAGUCAGAGAUAUCAGACAGCACUGGAGUUGUACCUUGUGCAUGACCUCUGCCAGUCAGGUCAGACAGAACAGGGUGAAAGUCAAGACCGAGAUCAAGAGGUGAACCUUGAAGUCCUAGGAAGGAAGAAAACAAACAGAAAAGCACCUGCUCUAUAGGAAGUUUCUGAUGGAUGGCAGCGACCAUGAAUAUAUCAUUAUAAAAAGAC
rnacentral:lncRNA from 12 species